ACGGAAGGCAGCAGUGAGGAAUAUUGGUCAAUGGGCGGAAGCCUGAACCAGCCAAGUCGCGUGAAGGAUGAAGGUAUUAUGUGUUGUAAACUUCUUUAGCAGCAGAGUAAUAAGGGGGUCGUGACCUCCGAUGCAAGUAUGCUGAAAAUAAGGAUCGGCUAACUCCGUGCCAGCAGCCGCGGUAAUACGGAGGAUCCGAGCGUUAUCCGGAUUUAUUGGGUUUAAAGGGUGCGCAGGCGGUUUUUUAAGUCAGUGGUUAAAUCGUGAGGCUCAACCUCAUCACGCCAUUGAUACUGGAAGACUUGAUUGCGGUUGAGGUUGGCGGAAUUCGUCGUGUAGCGGUGAAAUGCAUAGAUAUGACGAAGAACACCGAUUGCGUAGGCAGCUGACCAAGCCGUAAAUGACGCUCAUGCACGAAAGUGCGGGGAUCGAGCAGGAUUAGAUACCCUGGUA
rnacentral:rRNA from 1 species